GACGAACCGUGCGAACGUUAUUCGGAAUCACUGGGCUUAAAGGGCGCGUAGGCGGGCAGGCAAGUCGAAGGUGAAAUCCCACGGCUCAACCGUGGAAGUGCCCCCGAUACUGCCUGUCUGGAGGGAGAUAGGGCGUGCGGAACUUCCGGUGGAGCGGUGAAAUGCGUAGAUAUCGGAAGGAACACCGGUGGCGAAAGCGGCGCGCUGGAUCUCUUCUGACGCUGAGGCGGCGAAAGCCAGGGGAGCGAACGGG
rnacentral:rRNA from 1 species